rnacentral:rRNA from 1 species
UGAGGGAAUAUUUGGGUCAAUGGUCGCGAGACUGAACCAGCCAAGUAGCGUGCAGGACGACGGCCCUCCGGGUUGUAAACUGCUUUUAGUUGGGAAUAAAAGGGCGUACGUGUACGCCGUAUUGUAUGUACCAUCAGAAAAAGGACCGGCUAAUUCCGUGCCAGCAGCCGCGGUAAUACGGAAGGUCCGGGCGUUAUCCGGAUUUAUUGGGUUUAAAGGGAGCGUAGGCGGGUUUUUAAGUCAGUUGUGAAAGUCUGCGGCUCAACCGUAGAAUUGCAGUUGAAACUGGAAGCCUUGAGUGCACGCAGGGGUGCCGGAAUUCAUGGUGUAGCGGUGAAAUGCUUAGAUAUCAUGAAGAACUCCGAAAGCGAAGGCAAGUG